rnacentral:rRNA from 1 species
CACAUGCAAGUCGAACGAACCCUUCGGGGUUAGUGGCGCACGGGUGCGUAACGCGUGGGAACCUGCCUUUAGGUUCGGAAUAACUCAGAGAAAUUUGAGCUAAUACCGGAUAAUGUCUUCGGACCAAAGAUUUAUCGCCUUUAGAUGGGCCCGCGUUAGAUUAGAUAGUUGGUGGGGUAAUGGCCUACCAAGUCGACGAUCUAUAGCUGGUCUGAGAGGAUGAUCAGCCACACUGGGACUGAGACACGGCCCAGACUCCUACGGGAGGCAGCAGUGGGGAAUAUUGGACAAUGGGCGAAAGCCUGAUCCAGCAAUGCCGCGUGAGUGAUGAAGGCCUUAGGGUUGUAAAGCUCUUUUACCAGGGAUGAUAAUGACAGUACCUGGAGAAUAAGCUCCGGCUAACUCCGUGCCAGCAGCCGCGGUAAUACGGAGGGAGCUAGCGUUGUUCGGAAUUACUGGGCGUAAAGCGCGCGUAGGCGGCUUUUCAAGUCAGGGGUGAAAUCCCGGGGCUCAACCUCGGAACUGCCCUUGAAACUGGAUGGCUAGAAUACUGGAGAGGUGAGUGGAAUUCCGAGUGUAGAGGUGAAAUUCGUAGAUAUUCGGAAGAACACCAGUGGCGAAGGCGACUCACUGGACAGUUAUU